rnacentral:rRNA from 1 species
UAGGGAAUCUUCGGCAAUGGGGGGAACCCUGACCGAGCAACGCCGCGUGAGUGAAGAAGGUUUUCGGAUCGUAAAGCUCUGUUGUUAAGGAAGAACGAGUGCGAGAAUGGAAAGUUCAUACUGUGACGGUACUUAACAAGAAAGGGACGGCCAACUAAGUGCCAGCAGCAGCGGUAUUACGUAGGUCCCGAGCGUUGUCCGGAUUUAUUGGGCGUAAAGCGGGCGCAGGCGGUUAGAUAAGUCUGAAGUUAAUGGCAGUGGCUCAACCAUUGUAUGCUUUGGAAACUGUUUAACUGGGGUGCUGAAGGGGAGAGUGGAAUUCCAUGUGUAGCGUUGAAAUGCGUAGAUAUAUGGAGGAACACCGGUGGCGAAAGCUGCUCUCUGGUCUGUAACUGACGCUGAGGCUCGAAAGCGUGGGGUGCGAACAGG